rnacentral:rRNA from 1 species
UACGUAGGUGGCAAGCGUUGUCCGGAUUUACUGGGCGUAAAGGGCUUGUAGGCGGGUCGUUAAGUCUGGUGUGAAAUCUCCCGGCUCAACCGGGAGGGGUCAUCGGAUACUGGCGGACUAGAGACGGGUAGAGGAAAGCAGAAUUCCCGGUGUAGCGGUGAAAUGCGUAGAUAUCGGGAGGAAUACCAGUGGCGAAGGCGGCUUUCUGGGCCUGUUCUGACGCUGAGGAGCGAAAGCGUGGGGAGCAAACCGG